GCCAGUGUGGCUCAGUGGAUAGAGCGUCGGCCUGCUGACUGAAGGGUCCUGGGUUCAAUUCCAGUCAAGGGCA
rnacentral:tRNA from 1 species